GGUCAAGCGGGUGAAGGCACACGGUGGAUGCCUUGGUAUCAAGGGCCGAAGAAGGGCGUAGUACGACUACGAAAAGCCUCGGGUAGCUGUCAAACAAGCUUAGCCGGGGAUACCCGAAUGGGGCAACCCGUCUCGAUAAAAUCGGGACACCGCCAGCCGAACACAUAGGCUGGAUGGAGGUCAGUGGGGGAAGUGAAACAUCUCAGUACCCCGAGGAAAAGAAAUCAAUUGAGAUUCCCGAAGUAGCGGCGAGCGAAAUGGGAAGAGCCUAAACCUGGUGAGCUCAGUGGUUCUAGAACCUAUGCUUACCGGGGGUCGUAAGGCAGGUAGGACCGAAUUUAGAAUAGGUCAAGGAGUUACAAACCGAACCCUAGUAGAAGGUCUCUGGAAAGGGCCACCACAGACGGUGAUAGUCCAGUAAACAAAAGGGGGUAGGCUCCUUAUCUGUCCUUGAGUACCACGAGGCACGAAGAACCUUGUGGGAAUCUGCCCUGACCACAGGGCAAGGCUAAAUACCCUUGAUGACCGAUAGUGAACUAGUACCGUGAGGGAAAGGUGAAAAGUACCCCGAGAGGGGAGUGAAAAGACCUGAAACCGUGUGCUGACAAGCAGUCAGAGUCCCGAUGCAAAUCGGGAUGAUGGCGUGCCUAUUGAAGAAUGAGCCGGCGAGUUAAUCAGUGUGGCUGGUUAAGUGAUUUUAAUCAUGGAGCCGUAGCGAAAGCGAGUCUGAAUAGGGCGUUGUCCCGACUUGUCGGGACGGGUCGCACGGAUUAGACCCGAAGCUGGGUGAGCUAUCCAUGACCAGGAUGAAACCUCGAUAAAAUCGAGGUGAAGGUCCGAACUGGUGAGCGUUACAAAGCUCUCAGAUGAGUUGUGGAUAGAGGUGAUAUGCCAAACGAACCCAGGGAUAGCUGGUACUCCCCGAAAUGUAUUUAGGUACAGCCUCAGAUGUUCGCUAAUGGAGGUAGGGCUCUGGAUGGAUUCGGGAGAUAACACCUUACCAACUCCAACUAAACCACAAAUGCCAUUAGCCAAAAUCUGGGAGUGAGACUGUGGGGGAUAAGCUUCAUAGUCGAGAGGGAAACAGCCCAGACCAUCAGCUAAGGUCCCCAAGCGCUAACUAAGUGGAAAAGGAAGUAGUGUUGCAUAGACAGCCAGGAGGUUGGCUCAGAAGCAGCCAUCCUUAAAAGAGUGCGUAAGAGCUCACUGGUUGAGUGGUGCUGCGCCGAAAACCUAACGGGGCUCAAGUUAGCCACCGAAGCUAUGGCUCCGAUGCAAAUCGGAGGGUAGGGGAGCGUUCUCUCAGCAGUGAAGUUCUUCCGUGAGGAAGGAUGGAGCUCAGAGAAGUGAGAAUGCCGGCAUGAGUAGCGCGAGGCGUGUGAAAAACACGCCCACCGGAAACCUAAGGUUUCCUAUGCAAGGUUAAUCCGCAUAGGGUUAGUCGGGCCUAAGCCGAGGCCGGAAGGCGUAGGCGAUGGACAACGGGUUAUUAUUCCCGUACCGUUUCCAUGGAGGCAAAGGGAGAACACGGGAGGGUAGGCUGAGCAUACCCAUCGGACAUGGUGUGUUCUUCAUCAAAGGUGAGGCUGGGGCAGGAAAAUCCACCCCAGAUAUUAUAGCUGAAGAUGAGGAGAAGCUGAGGGGAGACUCAAGGCAACCUAGCCGAACCCAUGCCGUCAAGAAAAGUCUCGUUGCCAUUGAAGUGGGAGCGCCCGUACCGCAAACCGACUCUGGUAGGUUAGGAUAAAAGUCCUAAGGUGUUCGAGUAAUCCCUCGUUAAGGAACUCGGCAAUCUAACCCCGUAACUUCGGAAGAAGGGGUGCCCCGAUUAUGUCGGGGUGACAUUAAAUUGGCCCAAGCAACUGUUUAACAAAAACACAGGUCUCUGCUAAAGCGUAAGCUGAAAUAUAGAGGCCGAUACCUGCCCAGUGCUGGAAGGUUAAGGGGAGAAGUCAUUCCGAGCAAUCGGGAGAAGCCUUGAACUGAAGCCCCAGUGAACGGCGGCCGUAACUAUAACGGUCCUAAGGUAGCGAAGUCCCUUGUCGGGUAAGUUCCGACCCGCACGAAUGGUGUAAUGACUUGGGCGCUGUCUCAACGAGGGGCUCGGCGAAAUUGAAAUACCCGUGCAGAUACAGGUUACCCGCGACAGGACAAAAAGACCCCGUGGAGCUUUACUAUAGCUUGGCACUGAGUCUGGGCUUUCCUUGUGUAGGAUAGGUGGGAGGCUUUGAAGCCCCGACGCUAGUCGGAGUGGAGCCAACGUUGAAAUACCACCCUUGGUAAGUUUAGCCUCUAACCCCAGAACAAGCUGGGGGACCGUGUCUGGUGGGUAGUUUGACUGGGGCGGUCGCCUCCCAAACAGUAACGGAGGCGCCCAAAGGUCCCCUCAGAGUGUAUGGAAAUCACUCAGUGAGCGCAUUGGCAUAAGGGGGCUUGACUGUAAGACUCACAAGUCGAGCAGGGACGAAAGUCGGGCAAAGUGAUCCUACGGCACCGUGUGGAAGGGCCGUAGCUCAACGGAUAAAAGCUACCCCGGGGAUAACAGGCUUAUCUUGCCCAAGAGUUCACAUCGACGGCAAGGUUUGGCACCUCGAUGUCGGCUCGUCGCAUCCUGGGGCUGAAGCAGGUCCCAAGGGUCCGGCUGUUCGCCGGUUAAAGCGGCACGCGAGCUGGGUUCAGACCGUCGUGAGACAGGUCGGUCUCUAUCCGUCGUGGGCGUCCGGAGAUUUGAGGGGAGCUCUCUCCAGUACGAGAGGACCGAGAGGGACAGACCUCUGGUGUUCCAGUUGUUCCGCCAGGGGCAUUGCUGGGUAGCUAUGUCUGGUCAGGAUAAGCGCUGAAAGCAUCUAAGUGCGAAACCUACCCCAAGAUAAUAUCUCCCAUCCCGGCUUCGGUCGGGAGUAAGGCCACAAGUAGACUACUUGCUAUAUAGGCCGCAGGUGUAAGCGCAGUAAUGCGUUCAGCUGAGCGGUACUAAUGGCCGAGGGCUUGGCCUG
rnacentral:rRNA from 1 species